AACGCACGAGACCUGCGGACCUGCGGAGGGAUCAUUAUUGAAUGAAACAAGGCUUUAGCACUGUUGCUGGCUCUAUGGAGCAUGUGCACGUCUGGGCCAUUCAUCUCUGCUCACCUGUGCACCAUUUGUAGGCCUGGCUUGAGGAUUUGCAAUUUAGCUGUCCUUGAUCUCAUUCAGGCCUAUGUCUUUAUACCAUAUAAACACUAUAUAAAAACAGUUUGGAAUGUUGGCUUAUAUAUA
rnacentral:misc_RNA from 1 species